AAAGGCAGAGAAGCUGCACAAAGUUGAAGAGUAGUGGACGAAGCCAAAUGCAGGACAAUCCUGGAAGAGACGACAAAAGAGUAGAAACUGGGACAGAAGUUCCUGAGUCUCCAGAUGUGCAAAGAGACAUAGAUCAAAAAACUUACAGCUCUAAAAACUGGAGAACAGCUCUAAAAAUUGUAGAUCUAGAUGAGCUGAGAUGAACCGAACUUUACAAUGAGGGUAUACUACAUUUGAGUGACAUCAUCUACAUGUCUGUUCACAGGCAGAAUGACAACGUUGAUAUGGAAAUGCCGUACAUGAAGAGCAAUGGGACAACGGAAACCCACAAUGACAACAUUUAAGGUGGAUUCAGAUGUUGGUCUACUCGCUACAGAUGAAGACUUUGAUCAGGAGAACAUAUGAAGAAACAUGGCCGACACAAACAGUGAGAGCUGUUCUGAUGUGGCCUUGCCCUCGAUGUUCAGCAGGGUUUUCAUUCCUGAAGCAGGAAGUGUCAGCAGAGGUUCAAAUUCCACUGGAAGAGGGAUGAUACCUUACAAAUGCUGAAUUUGAGCCAUUAGACGUUAUUCACGACCUUCAGGCUUGUGUUUUUCUUGUUUGAGGGGAGUAUGUUUCUGAUUCAUGCAUCAAAAAGGUCAGGAACUACAAAGUGCACUUUAAGAAAAAUAUUCUCUACAAUUAAAUUUUUUUUUAAAGUCCAGGGUUUUAUUUUGCCAGUAAAGGUAAAAAAAUAAAAAUAAACUUUAUGUUUUCAUCUUCUACGGUGAAGUUAACAGAAAUGAGGAGUUUGACUUGCUGGACUCAAGUCAAACUGAGAUCAAAAGUUUAAUCAUUUUAAGCUCAACAAUGAAAUCACAAAAGACUUGACGCUCAAAUUAGCGCUCAAAUUGGCUCCAUUGAAUCAUAAAUUCUUCCAGACUUAAACCUUUUGAAUAUUUGAUUUCUUCCACCAAAUGUAAAUGUGUCUCUUAUGCAUUCCUUCAGUCGACUACGGUUAAUUUUAAUGAUUGUCAGUCAUUUUACACUAACUGUCCAGAGCUCCUAGAUUUGACACAUCAGUGAAGUUACAGAUAAAAAACAUGAAGAAAUACAGUGAUGUUACCCAGUACCAUAUGGACAAAAUUGGCACCUUCACACGUCCUCAAAAUAUAAACCUUGACAUUAAUUUUUUUUUUAUUUUUUAACUUGCUGAAAUGUAAAUAAAUCAAAGCCUUAACAAUAAAAGGUUAUUAAACUAACUUUUCCUUAAUGUAGUUUCCAGGUAAUUUUCUGCAAUCUAACAAAACACCUUUUGGAAUAAACAUUGUUGAACUAACAAAGCUAUCUUGUGUUAUGUUCCUACAUAAAGUCCAGUCACUGAAAAAACACAUGACCUUUAUCAGCCUAAACCUUUCAUUGUUUUUUGAAUCAAUUAGAACUACCAUUUUUGUUCAUUUCCAAAUAUCAGAAAGAAGCAAAAGAAAUAAUAUUUAAACUGGGUCAAAGGUUGCAUGAAUUCUUUGCUGGCAUUUUGGACAUUCCUCAGAGCUAACAUAAGUGAAUCAGAUUCUACAUGUCUAAAAAAAAAACUAAAAAUCUUCUCUCUUUUUAGAACUUGGGCUUUUGUUACAUUUGUGGCUCAUUCCACUAUAUAAACAACAAAUCGGAUCAGCAUUAACAGUUUUUGGAAACUGUAAUUGAUCAUAUAUUUGGUCAAUUAUUUGUUUCAGACUAUAAAUUAGAUGGACUAAUGCCUUGAAUGGGGACUUAAGUGAAAAUACAUCAUUGUUACAAGAGAUUUGUAGGAUAGAAUACUAUCUUAGUCCCGCCCUCUGAACAGAUUACUAUUGUUUUCAAACUCCACUUUGACCUGCUCUGCACUUUAAAGGAAAGGUCAGGGUGGUAAUCAGAGAUAUUUGAAAAACAACUGCAGAAAAUGUCAGUCAAAUAAAAGAAAAUACUAUUAAUAUUUAUGUAAUCUAGAGCAAAUAAAUAGGAUUUAUUUCUGCACACCAAGAAUGAAGGUGUCAAAUCUGACUUUAUGUCAAAGACAUUAAACUUAAUAAAAGAACUGUUUUUCUAUCAGUGACAUCUAGACAUAUUUAUAUUUUUACUUAAAGUGUUUUGGAUAGAGUCUGCUUAGACCUCUUAGUAGCAUGGGGACAAAAUGUUUUCAUUUAUUCAGCUUCUUUAAAUGUAUCUUCCUACCUCCCACAAAAAUAACUAAGAGAAAUACUGUAAAUACAUGCUAGAUAAAUUUUAAAAAAUGUGCCUCAACCACCACAAUAAGUCCUUUGACUGUGACCAUUUCAGCACAUUAAAUGCGGAUGUGGGGAAACCACGUUUAUCUUAGAAAAUCUUAGCUUUCCUGAUUUCAAAUGGCUGAGACUGUGUACUUUGCUGAGUCAUCCUGUGAACCUUAUAGCUUUAUGUUGUUGUCACACUGUACUCCACAUGACUAAAUAAAGCAUUGAAAUGCC